rnacentral:rRNA from 1 species
ACGUAGGAGGCAAGCGUUAUCCGGAGUUACUGGGCGUAAAGCGUGCGCAGGCGGAUUGUUAAGCAAGACGUGAAAUCCCCGGGCUUAACCUGGGAACUGCGUUUGUGACUGUAGGGCUUGAGUGCGGCAGAGGGGGGUGGAAUUCCACGUGUAGCAGUGAAAUGCGUAGAGAUGUGGGGGAACACCGAUGGCGAAGGCAGCCCCCUGGGACAUGACUGACGCUCAGGUACGAAAGCGUGGGGAGCAAACAG